rnacentral:tRNA from 1 species
GAGGGUAUAGCUCAGUGGUAGGGUGCAUGCCUAGCACGCAUGAGAUCCUUGGUUCAAUCCCCGGUAACUCCA